GAUGAACGCUGGCGGCGUGCCUAAUACAUGCAAGUCGAGCGAACGGACGAGAAGCUUGCUUUUCUGAUGUUAGCGGCGGACGGGUGAGUAACACGUGGAUAACCUACCUAUAAGACUGGGAUAACUUCGGGAAACCGGAGCUAAUACCGGAUAAUAUUUUGAACCGCAUGGUUCAAAAGUGAAAGACGGUGUUGCUGUCACUUAUAGAUGGAUCCGCGCUGCAUUAGCUAGUUGGUAAGGUAACGGCUUACCAAGGCAACGAUGCAUAGCCGACCUGAGAGGGUGAUCGGCCACACUGGAACUGAGACACGGUCCAGACUCCUACGGGAGGCAGCAGUAGGGAAUCUUCCGCAAUGGGCGAAAGCCUGACGGAGCAACGCCGCGUGAGUGACGAAGGUCUUCGGAUCGUAAAACUCUGUUAUUAGGGAAGAACAUAUGUGUAAGUAACUGUGCACAUCUUGACGGUACCUAAUCAGAAAGCCACGGCUAACUACGUG
rnacentral:rRNA from 1 species